rnacentral:rRNA from 1 species
GCAGGCGNUCAGGAAAGUCUGGAGUAAAAGGCUAUGGCUCAACCAUAGUGUGCUCUGGAAACUGUCUGACUUGAGUGCAGAAGGGGAGAGUGGAAUUCCAUGUGUAGCGGUGAAAUGCGUAGAUAUAUGGAGGAACACCAGUGGCGAAAGCGGCUCUCUGGUCUGUCACUGACGCUGAGGCUNGAAAGCGUGGGUAGCGAACAGGAUUAGAUACCCUGGUAGUNCACGCCGUAAACGAUGAGUGCUAGGUGUUAGGCCCUUUCCGGGGCUUAGUGCCGGAGCUAACGCAAUAAGCACUCCGCCUGGGGAGUACGACCGCAAGGUUGAAACUCAAAGGAAUUGACGGGGGCCCGCACAAGCGGUGGAGCAUGUGGUUUAAUUCGAAGCAACGCGAAGAACCAUACCAGGUCUUGACAUCCCGAUGCUAUUCUUAGAGAUAGGAAGUUACUUCGGUACAUCGGAGACAGGUGGUGCAUGGUUGUCGUCAGCUCGUGUCGUGAGAUGUUGGGUUAAGUCCCGCAACGAGCGCAACCCUUAUUGUUAGUUGCCAUCAUUAAGUUGGGCACUCUAGCGAGACUGCCGGUAAUAAACCGGAGGAAGGUGGGGAUGACGUCAAAUCAUCAUGCCCCUUAUGACCUGGGCUACACACGUGCUACAAUGGUCGGUACAACGAGUUGCGAGCCGGUGACGGCAAGCUAAUCUCUGAAAGCCGAUCUCAGUUCGGAUUGGAGGCUGCAACUCGCCUCCAUGAAGUCGGAAUCGCUAGUAAUCGCGGAUCAGCACGCCGCGGUGAAUACGUUCCCGGGCCUCGUACACACCGCCCGUCACACCACGAGAGUUUGUAACACCCGAAGUCGGUGAGGUAACCUUUUAGGG